UAGCCGCAUUCAUUUUGAAGGAGGGAAUGGGAUUGGUAUGCAAACGUUUCAGGAGAAACUAGCUCGUAAUGAAAAUGAUUUGUUUUAACUAACUUCACAUGGGUAGUUACAAUUAGGGAACAAUGGUAAGGUAGCAAACGAUAAUAUGCUCAACAUCUCAGGGACAGCCAGGGAGGAAAUGGUUGCGUUAAAGCAGAUUUGGCGAGCUAGCUAGUAGAUGACUAGCUAACGGUAGCUUAAACGCCUCAAACUGGCUAACUAACAUACGUUAGCCAACUUCCUGGUCUAGUCUCGACUGCUUAAAUCAGCAAAGUAUAGUGGCGCUGAUCUAAAGUAUAUUAACAGACAUUCUUACAACUUUUAAAAUAAUAUUUGGAGCUGACAGACGACGAAAACGGGGUUCAGGACGCCGAGGCCGAAGGGGAAAAUAUGUUUUGCAGUAACGCUAAUGGACGGCGCCCGACAAAUCUCAAUUUAACCGUGAAAACAAACCCAAGAACUAAACACGCAGUAACCUUACACAAUACAUACAUACAUAAUUUGGAAUAUGGAAGCGCAGUCAUUUGGUUGUUUCAACAUUACUUGUGUUUAUUGCGUUUAAAUGUCACCUACGAUAACAUCUGAGACAGUCCAGGAUUUAUAUCUUUCUUAAAGAGGAAACAAAGAAGAGAAAGAAAAUGGACGCCUGGCCUAAACAUGCUUCCUUAACAACGAAGCUAAAUUUUCAAUAACGAUAGAGGGAGACAAACACCCCCCGCCAGUAGCCAGGACUGGGAGCGCCAUCGUGACACCUAGAGGCCGAAUAAAGCUCCUGCAAAAAUCCCCCUUUUCGGAAAAGUGGUGCGGUUUUACCUACACUCUUCUUAUUAUUUUCUCGAUGAAUUCAGUGGAAAGCAGGGGUUCAGUUCUGUAGUCUUUCGGUGAUGAUGUUAAACGCGCUCGUCUCCUGCCGCUGUUUUAAUCCUCUCUCACCCUGUUUGACAGAGUGGUCUCCGCACAAAAUGGCGGCCUUGAGCUAAAACGUGCGCAUGCGCGGACAGAUUGGCCCAGCGGAAUGGGAGGCGGGGCGCAGAAGGUGGCGGUGAAAAGUAUUGCAACAGCAACGGCCUCCGCCGGGAGCAAAUCGUAAAUGUGGAGCAACGUCUGCGACAUUGUUCAAACUCAGUCUCUCUCAAGCACCCGAAUUUGGCUCAUAAUACAAAAUAUUCACACGUCAAUCGAGUAUGUAUGAAAAACACCCUUAGUCUGUAAACACAUACUGAGGCAGGAUCUAUAGACAAUCAUGUUGGCCUAUAUUGCGCUCAAAAAGACAACAUUUUUUGCACUUAUUUAACUUUUGGCAUAAUACUGCACACAUAAAUCAAAAACAUACUCUAGACACUGAUGGCAUUUCACAGCUCAAAAGAAGUGAAAACUGAAGCAAGACACAUGCCAUGCAUUACUUGCUUUGACAUUGCAAUUUUGUUUUCCCUGUAGGCUAUGUAGGCAACCAGUUUAUCACUGUUCUUUUUUGGAUAGGCAUUUCAACCUACAUCUGUAAUCAGCAACAGCAUCCCUUGGUUGUAAAAAAAAAAA